rnacentral:lncRNA from 1 species
CCAUGUUGGCUGCUCUCUAGCCUCAUCUUACCUGAUUCUCCCUCUCUAAAGAGCCUCACUUUCUCUCCCAGGUCGGGGUGGGCCGAGCUGAGUUUUUGAGAAGAGUCUUUUGGGAGUGAUUUUCAGCAGACGAAGAACACUUCAAACAAGAUUCUGCCCUGACACCAAAUUGUUCAUUAAAAUUAAACCCACAAAAGCAGCCAACUCAGACUCUGAGAGAUGAAAACCAUCACAAAACUAGAAAUUAUGGGAGUUCGGGGUCUCCUGUCUCUAAUUCCAGCUCUCUUCUGUUACAGCAUUUAAGCACUCGGUGACAAUGUGAGGAAGUGCCACUGGCUUCUCUUAAGGAUAAAGGCCUAGACGAAAGCCCCUGUGGGGGAGACACAUGCUGCUGAUGCUUUUCAGUGCCUUAAGAACAAGACCCAGGCCCAGGAAAAACUUUCCUGGCUUAGAAACUUUU